GACGCAGCAACGCCGCGUGUGUGAUGAAGGUCUCGGAUGUAAAGCACUUUCGACCGGGACGAAAACCCUCUGGCUAACACUCAGGGGCUUGACGGUACCGGGAGAAGAAGCACCGGCUAACUCUGUGCCAGCAUCCGCGGUAAUACAGAGGGUGCAAGCGUUGUUCGGAAUUAUUGGGCGUAAAGCGCGUGUAGGCGGCUUUGCAAGUCGGGUGUGAAAGCCCUCAGCUCAACUGAGGAAGUGCGCCCGAAACUGCAGAGCUUGAGUGCCGGAGAGGGUGGCGGAAUUCCCCAAGUAGAGGUGAAAUUCGUAGAUAUGGGGAGGAACACCGGUGGCGAAGGCGGCCACCUGGACGGUAACUGACGCUGAGACGCGAAAGCGUGGGGAGCAAACAGGAUUAGAUACCCUGGUAGUCCACGCCGUAAACGAUGAGAACUAGGUGUCGUGGGUGUUGACCCCCGCGGUGCCGAAGCUAACGCAUUAAGUUCUCCGCCUGGGAAGUACGGUCGCAAGACUA
rnacentral:rRNA from 1 species